UACAGAGGAUGCAAGCGUUAUCCGGAAUGAUUGGGCGUAAAGCGUCUGUAGGUGGCUUUUUAAGUCCGCCGUCAAAUCCCAGGGCUCAACUCUGGACAGGCGGUGGAAACUACCAAGCUGGAGUACGGUAGGGGCAGAGGGAAUUCCUGGUGUAGCGGUGAAAUGCGUAGAUAUCAGGAGGAACACCGGUGGUGUAAACGGCUUUCUGGACCAUAACUGACGCUGAGGCACGAAAGCGUGGGUAGCAAACAGG
rnacentral:rRNA from 1 species